AAGAAAACCAGCAAAGGAUAUCAAACUAGCUAAAGUUCAACAACAGGAAGAAGCCACAUUACCACCAGAGGGGAGACGAUGUGGGGCACGCAGCUCCCUGGGACCUUGACUCAUCCUAGCAGAAGUGGGGAACGAAGCUGGUGAAAGGAGGCUGUCUGGUCAGGCAAGAUACUACUGCUGGCUGCUGUGGAGAGAGAAAGCAAAUUUCCCAGAUGGAUGUAGCUUCCUGAUAGCCAAAGCGGAAGCCCAAGACAGCAGCUCCUAGGAGGUCAGGCUAGCAGAGACACUUCAGGCUACUCCAGGUCCUCAGGGCGUCUGCCUACACAGAGCGCCGCACAGCAGACACUUAAAAUAUUGUGUCAAACGCUCAGCCGCAGGUGGGACCUGACGCUAAUGGCUUUGUCUGAAUCAGACACUAAGAUCUGGAAAAAUAAGGAGUGAAUCCAAGAUGGCGAAG
rnacentral:lncRNA from 1 species